UACGUAGGGUGCAAGCGUUAAUCGGAAUUACUGGGCGUAAAGCGUGCGCAGGCGGUUUUGUAAGUCUGACGUGAAAUCCCCGGGCUCAACCUGGGAAUUGCGUUGGAGACUGCAAGGCUGGAGUCUGGCAGAGGGGGGUAGAAUUCCACGUGUAGCAGUGAAAUGCGUAGAGAUGGGGAGGAACACCGAUGGCGAAGGCAGCCCCCUGGGGCAAGACUGACGCUCAUGCACGAAAGCGUGGGGAGCAAACGGG
rnacentral:rRNA from 1 species